rnacentral:rRNA from 1 species
AGAGUUUGAUCCUGGCUCAGGACGAACGCUGGCGGUGUGCUUCACACAUGCAAGUCGAGCGAAUGAAGAAGGUAGCUUGCUACUUUUGGAUUUAGCGGCGGACGGGUGAGUAAUAUAUAGGAAUCUGCCCUAGAGCGGGGAACAACAGACCGAAAGGUUUGCUAAUGCCCCAUAGGUACGCAGUCUUCGGAUUGUUUAUUAAAGGAGUAAUCCACUCUAGGAUGAGCCUGUAUCCGAUUAGCUAGUUGGCGGGGUAAAGGCCCACCAAGGCUACGAUCGGUAGUUGGUCUGAGAGGAUGAUCAGCCACAAUGGGACUGAGACACGGCCCAUACUCCUACGGGAGGCAGCAGUGGGGAAUUUUACACAAUGGGGGAAACCCUGAUGUAGCGACACCGCGUGAACGAAGAAGCCUUUUGGGAUGUAAAGUUCUGUCGGCUGGAACGAAAAAAAUGACGGUACCAGCAAAGGAAGCAUCGGCUAACUACGUGCCAGCAGCCGCGGUAAGACGUAGGAUGCAAGCGUUGUCCGGAUUUAUUGGGCGUAAAGAGUUCGUAGGCGGUUAUUUAAGUCUGAUGUUAAAUACUGUGGCCCAACCACAGAACUGCAUUGGAUACUGGAUGACUUGAGUGCGGUAGAGGCAAGUGGAAUUCCCAGUGUAGCGGUGAAAUGCGUAG